rnacentral:misc_RNA from 1 species
UUUCCGUAGGUGAACCUGCGGAAGGAUCAUUAAAAAAUAGGACUUCCAAUGGGAGUUCAUUAAUAAUCCUACCCUUUGUGAAUUUGUUUGUUUGAAAUAAUUUUUUUCCAAAAAAAUUAUUGAAUGUCUUUCCCUGUUUUUGGUUGAAGCGUAAAAGUGGAGACCAAGCAGGGGAAUGGCAAACAUUAAUUUUUUUGAAAAAAGACCUUUUUUUAAAAUUAAACUUUUUGUAUUCAUUUGUCUAAAAUUAUUUUUAUAAUAUAAAAACAACUUUUGACAAUGGAUCUCUUGGUUCUCGCAACGAUGAAGAACGCAGCAAAAUGCGAUAAGUAAUGUGAAUUGCAGAAUACGUGAAUCCUCGAAUCUUCGAACGCAUAUUGCACUUUUUUAGUUUACUAAAAAAGUAUGUCUGUUUGAGUAUCAGUAAAAUAUUCUCAUAAAAAACUUUUUUUGUUUUUUAUGGUUAUGAGUGUUUUACAACGAUAAACAAGUUGUUUCACUUUAAAUUCUUUGAAAUUUAAAAAAUCGUUAAAACUAAUUUUAAAAUGAUUUUUUAAAAUUGGAUAAAAUUUUCCCGUAAAAAAGGAAUAACCUAAACAAUUUUAAAAAAUUUAAAAUUGGUUGAUUUUUUUAAAUCCCAAAAGGAAAAAAGUAAAAAUUAACUUGAUCUCAAAUCAGAUAAGAGUACCCGCUGAACUUAAGCAUAUCAAUAAGCGGAGGAAAAGAAACUAACUAGGAUUCCCUCAGUAACGGCGAGUGAAGCGGGAAGAGCUCAAAUUUGAAAUCUCCAAGGCUUUACCUUGACGAAUUGUAGUUUAAAGAAGUGUUUUCUGUUGAUAGUUUGGUAAAGUUCUUUGGAAUAGGACAUCAUAGAGGGUGAGAAUCCCGUAAUGACCAUUAUUUCAGCUGUGUGAUACACUUUCAAAGAGUCGGAUUGUUUGGGAAUGCAGUCCAAAAUGGGUGGUAAAUUUCAUCUAAAGCUAAAUAUUGGCGAGAGACCGAUAGCGAACAAGUACCGUGAGGGAAAGAUGAAAAGAACUUUGAAAAGAGAGUUAAACAGUACGUGAAAUUGUCAAAAGGGAAGCGUUUGACACCAGUGUUGUUUUCUCGAAAAUCAAUUAAAAAUGGCUGGAUUCUGUGUUGUAAGUGACCUUAACAGCUUUCUUGCACUUUUUUCUGUCCUUUUUAAUGCACUUUUCGUUUAACAAGUCAACAUCAGUUUCUUUUGUUGUAAAAGGGUCAUUGGAAGGUGGCUUUCUUUUCGGAGAAAGUGUUUAUAGCCUUUGGCUUCUGCAAUCGGAGAGACUGAGGUCUGCAGCGUAGAUCCUUCGGGGUUAGAUACAUUGUGCUAAGUUAUAGCCUUUCAUAGACAACUUGUUGACUAUGUUCAGUCUUGUAGCUUACUCGCUGUGCUAUUU